rnacentral:rRNA from 3 species
AAAUUGAAGAGUUUGAUCAUGGCUCAGAUUGAACGCUGGCGGCAGGCCUAACACAUGCAAGUCGAACGGUAACAGGAAACAGCUUGCUGUUUCGCUGACGAGUGGCGGACGGGUGAGUAAUGUCUGGGAAACUGCCUGAUGGAGGGGGAUAACUACUGGAAACGGUAGCUAAUACCGCAUAACGUCGCAAGACCAAA